CAAAAUAUUGUCAAUUCAAUAUGUAACCAAUGUCAAAAAUUAUUAAUGAGAUCAUUUACAUGCUUUUGCUCAUACCAAGUCUUCGAGAUCCAGGGUCAGGGCUGCAUUCGCAGCUCAUCUCAAUUUGGACCAGCUGCAUUUCACACGCUUGCUGGUCUGUGUGGCUCGUGGUCACCACGUUGGAUGCGCUACUGGGCCCUGAAGGGCCACCUUGGCUUGGCAGGGGACGAGACACUGACUUGGCCCGUAACCCUGUGGUUGAGUUGGAGGUGCUUCCUACCACGGUGGCUGCUGCCCGUUUGGCUCCAGGAGACAUGAAAUCAGUGCUUGUCAAAGGCUGGCUCAGAGAUCAUCCGCUUUAGCAUCUCCUGGGCAGCUGCUUAAACAAAACCCCAGAUUCCUGGGCCCUACCCCACCGGAAUCCCUGGGAGUCAGGAAUCUGCAUUUUCAAUAGGCUCCUCAAGUGGUUUUGGGGUCUGGCCUCCCCUCUCCUUUCCAGGGCAGAGAAUGCAUUGCUUUGGAGUUCACAAUGGCACAUCUUCCUUUUCUCUCGCGUCUCCUUUUGGAUGAAUUGUCUGGAACAAGAGUGAGUAUUAGAAUUAUGAGGCAGUCAUGGCUCAGUUGCCAAUUUCCCGUCUUUUCCUUAGAUUCCCUUCACCUGGGGUUUAAGCUUGGCCGUGGUCCGUCACUUCCUCCAACAGCAAUGUUCUCCCCAGACACGGACGUGGUGUAGGCACACACCACAUUUCCCACAGCACCUGAGGAGGCCAAGCUUCUCUCCAGCAGAACACCAGCCACGUCCACGCGUGUUCCAAUCCUGGACCCCGGGGAUGUCCCCUCACCCUGCCCUUACUCCCCGACCCGGGGGAGCCAGAUGGAGGAUUUUCUACUUAUCUAGUCCCCUCUCUGAUUUCUCUUUCCCCUCCAUAGAACUCUCUGCCAUAAAAGCAUUUGUGGGUGCAGGCAGAAGGACAAGAGCUGGAUGUGCUAUAAAGGCAAAGCUGAUAGAAAUCAAGACAUUUCAUAUUUAAAAAUAGUGGCUCCAUAUUCAGGACGUCGUGGGUCUUUGAUAUGAUAUGUUAAGCUAUUUAUCCGCAAAGGACUCUAAGUACAGUAUGUUUUCUAUUUCUUCCAACACCCUGAGGGGGUGCCACUAUAGUUCAUAUUACAGAGGAGGAAAGUGAAGCGCAGAGAGGUUUAGUAACUUGCUCAAGGUCAUACAGCAAGCAAGUAGUGGAAACAGGCCUAGAGCCCACAGAGAUGGGAGAGAAAAGAACAAUGAGCCGAGUCGUGAAACAGGGGUCCUAUUGCACUCCCAUUUGAAACUACUAAUCAUUGGCUUAGCAUAAACCUUUUAUUUUUUCUGAACUUCAUUUCUUUCCUUGAAAGCGUGAUAGUUGAGCUAAACGAACUUGAUCGUCUCCUUUUUGAAUAUUCACUUCCCCACUUGUAGGUCGGGUUUCCUGGAAAAUGGACUUCAGAACCCUGAGCUUUUCAUGCAAAGUAUUUAUUGGGGAGCACUCUUGAACAAAACCCGGCAAGGAUGAGAGAAGCAAGUCCAGGCUGCAAGUAUCCUCAGCAUCCCACAGAAAGAGGAUCAUUUUCUAAAUGGGCCAUGAUGUGACAAAAGUAGGGAAGCGCCCAUCGAGGUGAAUAACAUGGCUCAGUUCCUUCCUUUCUGACUGCACCCAGAGUCCUCAAGGAAAGAGCGCAGUGUUACCUGGGAAUCCAUCCCCGCAGACACGUGUCAUGCACCGCAUAAUGAUGUUGUGGUCAAUGAUAGACUACAUAUAUGACGGUGGUCCCAAGAUUAUAACGGAACUGAAAAAUUCCUAUUGCCUAAUGACACGGUAACAGUCUUAACUACGUCACAUAGCUGAAGAAGAGGCAAGAGAAAAGAAAACUGCAGGAGAAGAAAAAGAAGAACCCCAAGAAAAUUCAUAUUGAAGGGUUUAGCUGAAGCUCUUACUGACUUCAACAGGCUUCUUAAAAAGUUUGAAAACAUGGAUCCCAACACCGAAAGAUUUUCAUUGAUAGAGGAAUGUUCAUGGUGCGUUAUCCGCUUACGAGCAAAUCUAUGACGAAAAAAGAAACAAACCACGCAAACCACCAGGGACAUAUUUCUGAAAAGAGUGACACCUCCUCAAGAGGAGCCUCGGGCAGGCCCUUCAGGAGGUAUUCCAGAAGAAGGCACUGUUGUCAUAGGAGAUGACAACUCUGUGUGUUAUUGCUUCUGAAGACCUUCCAGUGGGACAAGAUGUGGAGGUGGAAGACACUGAUAUUGGUGAUCCUGACCCUGUGUAGGCCUAGGCUAGCAUGUUGAAGAUCCUUUUCCUCUCUGCUGGCCAACCUGUGAGUAUACGACAACAGCACCACUUUCUUUGUGUUCCUCGCAUGGCAAAGAGGCCUAACCAGAGAGGGGCAGAGGAGCGGCUGUGUCAAGAUUCCUGUUCCACUGUCUCCAGAUAUCCCCC
rnacentral:lncRNA from 1 species